UACGGAGGGUGCAAGCGUUAUCCGGAUUUACUGGGUUUAAAGGGUGCGUAGGUGGGCAGGUAAGUCAGUGGUGAAAUCUCCGAGCUUAACUCGGAAACUGCCAUUGAUACUAUCUGUCUUGAAUUAUCUGGAGGUGAGCGGAAUAUGUCAUGUAGCGGUGAAAUGCUUAGAUAUGACAUAGAACACCAAUUGCGAAGGCAGCUCACUACGGAUACAUUGACACUGAGGCACGAAAGCGUGGGGAUCAAACAGG
rnacentral:rRNA from 1 species